rnacentral:rRNA from 1 species
AUUGAACGCUGGCGGCAGGCCUAACACAUGCAAGUCGAACGAGUGGCGGACGGGUGAGCAAUGUCUGGGAACCUGCCUGAUGGAGGGGGAUAACUACUGGAAACGGUAGCUAAUACUGCAUACCGUCGGAUCUGCCCAGGUGGGAUUAGCUAGUAGGUGGGGUAACGGCUCACCUAGGCGACGAUCCCUAGCUGGUCUGAGAGGGUGACCAGCCACACUGGAACUGAGACACGGUCCAGACUCCUACGGGAGGCAGCAGUGGGGAAUAUUGGGCAAUGGACGCAAGCCUGAUGGAGCCAUGCCGCGUGUAUGAAGAAGGCCUUCGGGUUGUAAAACUCUUUCAGCGGGGAGGCGUUACCCGAAGAAAAAGCACCGGCUAACUCCGUGCCAGCAGCCGCGGUAAUUC